rnacentral:rRNA from 1 species
UAUGUAGGUGGCGAGCGUUGUCCGGAUUUACUGGGCGUAAAGAGCGCGCAGGCGGUCGUUCAAGUCGCGUGUGAAAGCCCCCGGCUCAACUGGGGAGGGUCACGCGAUACUGAUCGACUCGAAGGCAGGAGAGGGAAGUGGAAUUCCCGGUGUAGUGGUGAAAUGCGUAGAUAUCGGGAGGAACACCCGUGGCGAAGGCGGCUCUCUGGGACGGUACUGACGCUGAGACGCGAAAGCGUGGGGAGCGAACAGG